rnacentral:rRNA from 1 species
CCGCGGUAAUACGUAUGAGGCUAGCGUUGUUCGGAUUUACUGGGCGUAAAGGGUGUGUAGGCGGUUUGGCAAGUCUGAUGUGGAAACUAGAAGCUUAACUUCUAGACGCCAUUAGAAACUACUUAACUUGAGUACAGGAGGGGAGAGUGGAAUUCCAGGUGUAGCGGUGAAAUGCUUAGAUAUCUGGAGGAACACCAGUGGCGAAGGCGGCUCUCUGGACUGUAACUGACGCUGAAACACGAAAGCAUGGGGAGCAAACGGGAUUAGAUACCCCGGUAGUCCAUGCCGUAAACGAUGGAUAUUAGGUGUAGAGAAUACGAAAUUUUCUGUGCCGAAGUUAACACAUUAAAUAUCCCGCCUGGGGAGUAUGACCCAAGGUUG